rnacentral:rRNA from 1 species
CGCGUAGGCGGUUUUACAAGUCGUCUGUGAAAUCCCAGGGCUUAACCCUGGGGGUGCAGACGAAACUGUAAGACUUGAGUGCGGUAGAGGUAAGUGGAAUUCCUAGUGUAGCGGUGAAAUGCGUAGAUAUUAGGAGGAACACCAGUGGCGAAGGCGACUUACUGGGCCGUAACUGACGCUGAGGCGCGAAAGCGUGGGGAGCAAACAGGAUUAGAUACCCUGGUAGUCCACGCUGUAAACGAUGAAUACUAGGUGUAGGGGGUAUCGACCCCUCCUGUGCCGGAGCUAACGCAAUAAGUAUUCCGCCUGGGGAGUACGGCCGCAAGGUUGAA